rnacentral:lncRNA from 1 species
AUCAAUUUACGUACUCAAUAAUAGAACUACAACAUGGUUGCACUCCUUAAUCUCAGGAUAGAGAUAACAAUUUUUAUAAAUCUAUUACAUUAUGAGAACAUUGUUAGUACUAUAAAAAUCAGGAUCAGUUAAAUGUUCUCUUAAAAUAAUUUUCAAUAUUAAAUUUUUAAGUAACUCAGUGGAUGCAUAUUUUCCUUAUUUUUGGAAAUUUGACUUAUAAAGUUUAAGCCAUGACUAGAAUAUUUACAUCAUUAAAAUAAAAUUUCCAAGUAAAAAUUUUCAUCUUAAAGUAAUACGGAAAUGAUUUUGCUACAUUAUUCUAGGAUUUUACAAAGUAAUUCACCUUUAGAAAAAAAGUGGUUUUUUUUUUAGCUCUAAAUAAUUAAAGGUUGCCUAAACUAAUGUGUAUAAGUAGAUUUACCUGUAAAUAUGUAAGGGAAGUCCCAAUUAUUGUACACUUUCAUAAUUCAAUGUGAAUUUCAUACAAAGCAAAGUUUCACCAUUAAGAAAAUAAACAUUUUGUUCCUAUCA